rnacentral:misc_RNA from 1 species
UCCGGCUUAACGCCGGCAGUCCCCCCAGAGUCCCCGGCCGAACCGCUGGCAACUGGGAGCGAGGGUUGCGCUCGUUGCGGGACUUAACCCAACAUCUCACGACACGAGCCGACGACAGCCAUGCAGCACCUGUGUUCCGGCUCUCUUUCGAGCACCCCCACCUCUCAGCAGGGUUCCGGACAUGUCAAGGGUAGGUAAGGUUUUUCGCGUUGCAUCGAAUUAAUCCACAUCAUCCACCGCUUGUGCGGGUCCCCGUCAAUUCCUUUGAGUUUUAAUCUUGCGACCGUACUCCCCAGGCGGUCAACUUCACGCGUUAGCUGCGUUACCAAGGAAGUUAAUCCCCGACAACUAGUUGACAUCGUUUAGGGCGUGGACUAC